rnacentral:lncRNA from 10 species
CUGGUAUUUUUUGGAGGAGCCAAGAUGGCCGAAUAGGAACAGCUCCGGUCUACAGCUCCCAGCGUGAGCGACGCAGAAGACGGGUGAUUUCUGGAUUUGCAUCUGAGUUCUGCCACUGCUUGGAGAGAUGCUUUUCCCAGGUAGCUGCUGCUUCUCCAGCCUGGACCCCAGAAUAAGUAUAAAUUGAACAGAGCCACCUCAGCCAUCUGCAGACCUGCAGCAUGAAGUAAAGCCAGCCCAACUGACCCUCAGACCCAUGAGUGAGAAUAAUUGAUUAUUAUGUUAAGCCACCAAGUUCUGUUAUAGUUUUGUUAGACUGCAAGAUCUAGCUGAUAGGCCAAGUUUUGUUAAAUGACCACCACCCCACCAAUAAUCUAUGACCAGGCAUGUGGUCGUGAAAAAAAACUACACCUUCUGCACAAAUCUGGUGUUAAAAAAAAGAAGAAAAUGGUUCUUAGAACAAGGUCAUGGCAGAAGUAGGGAGGAUAGUGGGCACACAAAUCAACAGGGAUGCAGAGUCUAGAAUUUCUGACCUGCAUCUGUUUUUAUCCUUGUAUUCAAUAUACAUGCCAUCUGUGGAUCUUUAUUUUUUUUCUCACCUGAAAUUCUCCUGCUACAAUUUGACAAAGCGCUUUUCUGCAGUUGUUGAGAUUCAAAGAAGACUUCGAGGAGGAGAAAGACUGCGUGGUUUCAAGCAAAGAGUUAAUUAUUAUGAGUGGGGAAAUGGAACUAAGAGGUGAGAUGGAGGUUGGAAAGGACCGGAAGCCAAGAGACUGGGGUAGAGUGACACGUCAUACAUAAACACCUGACCUGAGGCAGCACCCAUGCUGUGGUCUAGUCUUUUU